AAUACCCAGUUUUUUCUUGACUCUUCAAAGGUCUUGGAAUAAGGGGUGGGUAAGGACGGUGCCAGCCGCCGCGGUAACACCAGCGCCACAAGUGGCAACCGCUUUUAUUGGGCCUAAAGCGUCCGUAGCCGGUUCAGUAAAUUUUCUGUGAAAUCGUUGGGCUUAACCUAACGUCGUGCAGGAAACACUACUGGACUAGGGACCGGGAGGCGUCAGAGGUAUUCCUGAGGGAGCGGUAAAAUGCUAUAAUCUCAGGAGGACCCCUUGUGGUGAAAACGUCUGACGAGAACGGAUCCGACGGUCAGGGACGAAAGCCAGGGGAGCAAACCGGAUUAGAUACCCGAGUAGUCCUGGCUGUAAACGCUGCGAGCUAGGUGUUACGCAUUCUUCGGGAAUGCGUAGUGUCGAAGCGAAGGUGUUAAGCUCGCCGCCUGGGAAGUACGGUCGCAAGGCUGAAACUUAAAGGAAUUGGCGGGGGAGCACUACAAGGGGUGCGGCGUGCGGUUUAAUCUAAUUCAACACAGAGAAUCUCACCAGAAGCGACGGCAGGAUGAAGGUCAGGUUAAAGGCCUUACCUAACAAGCCGAGAGGUAGUGCAUGGCCGU
rnacentral:rRNA from 1 species